rnacentral:rRNA from 1 species
GGGUCAGUAGGUUGGUCGUGCCACCGGUACGUACUGGUCUCACUGAUUCCUCCUUCCUGAAGAACCGUAAUGCCAUUAAUUUGGUGUUGCGGGGAAACAGGACUGUUACUUUGAAAAAAUUAGGGUGUUUAGAGCAAGCUAACGCUUGAAUACAUUAGCAUGGAAUAAUGAAAUAGGACGAUCGAUCCUAUUUUGUUGGUUUCUAGGAUUGGCGUA